rnacentral:rRNA from 1 species
GAUGAACGCUGGCGGCGUGCCUAAUACAUGCAAGUCGAGCGAACGGACGAGAAGCUUGCUUCUCUGAUGUUAGCGGCGGACGGGUGAGUAACACGUGGAUAACCUACCUAUAAGACUGAGAUAACUUCGGGAAACCGGAGCUAAUACCGGAUAAUAUUUUGAACCGCAUGGUUCAAAAGUGAAAGACGGUCUUGCUGUCACUUAUAGAUGGAUCCGCGCUGCAUUAGCUAGUUGGUAAGGUAACGGCUUACCAAGGCAACGAUGCAUAGCCGACCUGAGAGGGUGAUCGGCCACACUGGAACUGAGACACGGUCCAGACUCCUACGGGAGGCAGCAGUAGGGAAUCUUCCGCAAUGGGCGAAAGCCUGACGGAGCAACGCCACGUGAGUGAUGAAGGUCUUCGGAUCGUAAAACUCUGUUAUUAGGGAAGAACAUAUGUGUAAGUAACUGUGCACAUCUUGACGGUACCUAAUCAGAAAGCCACGGCUAACUACGUG